rnacentral:rRNA from 1 species
GACGAACGCUGGCGGCGUGCUUAACACAUGCAAGUCGAACGGAAAGGCCUGCUUUCCCUUGUGGAUUGCGGGUACUCGAGUGGCGAACGGGUGAGUAACACGUGAGUGAUCUGCCCCCAACUUGGGUAUAAGCCUGGGAAACUGGGUCUAAUUCCCGAUAGGACUGCAGGGUGGUGCCUGUGGUGGAAAACGAUUUUCUAGUGGUUGGGGAUGAGCUCGCGGCCUAUCAGCUUGUUGGUGGGGUAAUGGCCUACCAAGGCGGCGACGGGUAGCCGGCCUGAGAGGGUGGACGGACACAUUGGGACUGAGAUACGGCCCAGACUCCUACGGGAGGCAGCAGUGGGGAAUAUUGCACAAGGGGCGGAAGCCUGAUGCAGCGACGCAGCGUGGGGGAUGACGGCCUUCGGGUUGUAAACUCCUUUCGACCGCGAGGAAGCCACCUGGUUGGAAGGGUGGUGACGGUAGUGGUAGAAGAAGCACCGGCUAACUACGUG